rnacentral:rRNA from 1 species
ACUCAAAGGAAUAGACGGGGGCCCGCACAAGCGGCGGAGCAUGCGGAUUAAUUCGAUGCAACGCGAAGAACCUUACCAAGGCUUGACAUGAACCGGAAAGACCUGGAAACAGGUGCCCUCCUUUGGAGCCGGUUUACAGGUGGUGCAUGGUUGUCGUCAGCUCGUGUCGUGAGAUGUUGGGUUAAGUCCCGCAACGAGCGCAACCCUCGUUCUAUGUUGCCAGCGGGUAGUGCCGGGGACUCAUAGGAGACUGCCGGGGUCAACUCGGAGGAAGGUGGGGACGACGUCAAAUCAUCAUGCCCCUUAUGUCUUGGGCUUCACGCAUGCUACAAUGGCCGGUACAAAGGGUUGCGAUACUGUGAGGUGGAGCUAAUCCCGGAAAGCCGGUCUCAGUUCGGAUUGAGGUCUGCAACUCGACCUCAUGAAGUCGGAGUCGCUAGUAAUCGCAGAUCAGCAACGCUGCGGUGAAUACGUUCCCGGGCCUUGUACACACCGCCCGU